rnacentral:rRNA from 1 species
GACGAACGCUGGCGGCGUGCCUAAUACAUGCAAGUCGAACGCAGUUGCGAACGGGUGAGUAACGCGUAGGUAACUUCCUCAUCGUGGGGGACAACUGUUGGAAACGCUUGCUAAUAGCGCAUAUUGCGAGAUGGACCUGCGGUGUAUUAGCUAGUUGGUGAGGUAAAUGCUCACCAAGGCGACGAUACAAAGCCGGCCUGAGAGGGUGGUCGGGCAAACUGGGACUGGGGACAGGGCCAGACUCCUACGGGGGGGCGCAGGAGGGGAACUUCGGGAAUGGGCGGAAGUCUGAACGAACAACGGCGCGGUGGUGAAGAAGGUUUUCGGGUCGGAAAGCUCUGUUGUUAGAGGAGCGGUAACUAACCAGAAAGGGACGGCUAACUACGUGCCAGCAGCCGCGGUAAUUC